rnacentral:sRNA from 1 species
GGGGUGAGGCGAGGGGUGGGGCGAGGCCUGCAGGAGGGUGGGCUUCCCUGGACCUCAAGUGGAGGGGGCUGAGCACAGGGCCAGGAUGCUGGUCACCGGGUGGCCCUGUGAGCUCCCCUCCCUUCAGGAGCACUCCGCUCUGCCACAGGAAGGGCCUGACCUUCGUCUCUGUGCACGACUGUUACUGGACCCACGCAGCUGAUGUCUCCGUCAUGAACCAGGUGUGCCGGGAGCAGUUUGUCCGCUUGCACAGCGAGCCCAUCCUGCAGGACCUGUCCAGGUUCCUGGUCAAGCGGUUCUGCUCUGAGCCCCAGAAGAUCUUGGAGGCCAGCCAGCUGAAGGAGACACUGCAGGCGGUGCCCAAGCCAGGGGCCUUCGAUCUGGAGCAGGUGAAGCGUUCCACCUACUUUUUCAGCUGACACCCCGUGAGCCUUGUGUCAGUGUGUAAAUAAAGCUCUUUUGCCACCCCCG